rnacentral:rRNA from 1 species
GUCUACGGCCAUACCACCCUGAACGCGCCCGAUCUCUUCUGAUCUCGGAAGCUAAGCAGGGUCGGGCCUGGUUAGUACUUGGAAGGGAAAAAACAGGAAGGGAAAUUAUAGUCA